rnacentral:rRNA from 1 species
UGGGGAAUCUUGCGCAAUGGCCGAAAGGCUGACGCAGCGACGCCGCGUGAGGGAUGACGGCCUUCGGGUUGUAAACCUCUGUUGCUCGGGACGAACAACUGGUUUCGACCAGUCUGACGGUACCGGGUGAGGAAGCACCGGCUAACUCUGUGCCAGCAGCCGCGGUAAUACAGAGGGUGCGAGCGUUGUCCGGAAUCACUGGGCGUAAAGGGCGCGUAGGCGGUCUGCUAAGCGUGUGGUGAAAGCUCGGGGCUCAACCCCGAGUCGGCCGUGCGAACUGGUGGACUGGAGCAUGUCAGAGGCAGGCGGAAUUCCGGGUGUAGCGGUGGAAUGCGUAGAGAUCCGGAAGAACACCGGUGGCGAAGGCGGCCUGCUGGGACAUGGCUGACGCUGAGGCGCGACAGCGUGGGGGAGCAAAACA